UGGACAAGUGUUUUUAACUUCACCUGUAUUUCUUUGCUGUGUUAUUUACAUACGACGUCGUCUUCUAUCAUAUAGGUCCUUAAUUUGGGCUGUCAAGGUAUUAUUAUUGUUAUUUUUAUAAAAACAAAUUUCUGUCAAGGUAUUAUUGUGCGACCAUGUCAACCUACUCGCUGGGGAUAUUCUGAUAGUGUCUUGAAGGAAGUCUAACUUGCCGAACCUAUUUUAUGUGGUUCAAGAGAAAGGCCGACAUGUGGAUUAUCCAAACACCACAUCAUUCAAACAUUUGGUAUCUGAAUGGAUACUCUCUUAUGAAAUAUGAAGCAAGUCUUCAUUAAAUAUGAAUUAAUAGGGCUUCUCCAUCUUUCCAGAAAUAUAUAUAUAUGAUUUUAGAGAAUUUGUACACCAAAUUUUCCCUAUUUACACUUCAUACCCUAUAUCCCUCUAAUUUUCUCCUCCCCCCAUCAUUACUAUUUUUCCCCUAUUCUAUGGUAUUCCACCUUUUUUUGUAUAUUAAGCUAAUUUGCUCAUGAUUUUAUGCAGGAUAAACACUAUAUCACAAACACACUCGUUUGCAACCACAUAAUCCUUUGUGUUUGCCUUAUUUUUUUUGUUGUUCACUAUUUUACUUAUGCGUUGAAUAUUGUGUAGGUAUUCUCGCUGUAUUCUUGGAGACCUUGAUAUUAUCUUCCUUGGUGCAUGUCCAUUUACUCCCGCAGCAGGCCCUACCUUGAACACAUGCCCAAGAUACAUUGGUAUGGGGCGGCAUAGAAUUUAUAUAGUUUUUAGGUUUAUUUUUUUUGUUAUUAGCACAAGAAAGGAAAAUUGAGUUUUACUUAGGGCAUCUUUAUUGGUGGGAUGAAGAGAGAGAGGGAGAGAGUCCAUUGUUUUGCUUUUUUUUUUUUUUUUUUUUGGUCAUUAGAGAUUAAGGGACAGCCCUUAAUUAAGGGCUUUUUCCUUCUCUUUCUUCCUCGGUUCCCACCCCCCUUCCCCUAAGGGAUGCCUUAAGGGACCUCCAAUACAAAUGCCCUUAAACCUAUUUCAAACAAAUAACAUAAUAAAUGCUUGAGUAUUUUUUUUCUUUCUUUUACACAAAAUGAUAUAGAAAGAUAGUUUCAGAAUUGAUACUUUUAAAAGUUUUA
rnacentral:lncRNA from 1 species